GAUGAAGAACGUAGCGAAAUGCGAUAAGUAAUGUGAAUUGCAGAAUUCAGUGAAUCAUCGAAUCUUUGAACGCAUCUUGCGCUCCUUGGUAUUCUGAGGAGCAUGCCUGUUUGAGUGUCAUUAAAUUCUCAACUACACUGACUUUGAAUUGGUGUGGCUUGGAUUUGGGGGGAAAAUUGUUGUGGGCUUUUUGUAUAGUCUGCUCCCCUGAAAUUGAUUAGCGGUACCUUUGUGGAACUGUCUACAGGUGUGAUAAUUAUCUACAUCUUAGACAUCUGCUGGAAUGCUGCUUUCUAGACCUUACUUGUAUUGACAAUCUUGACCUCAAAUCAGGUAGGACUACCCGCUGAACUUAAGCAUAUCAAUAAGCAGGA
rnacentral:misc_RNA from 1 species